UACGGAGGGUGCAAGCGUUAUCCGGAUUCACUGGGUUUAAAGGGUGCGUAGGUGGGCAGGUAAGUCAGUGGUGAAAUCUCCGAGCUUAACUCGGAAACUGCCAUUGAUACUAUCUGUCUUGAAUUAUCUGGAGGUGGGCGGAAUAUGUCAUGUAGCGGUGAAAUGCUUAGAUAUGACAUAGAACACCAAUUGCGAAGGCAGCUCACUACGGAUAUAUUGACACUGAGGCACGAAAGCGUGGGGAUCAAACAGG
rnacentral:rRNA from 1 species